rnacentral:tRNA from 1 species
CGGAGUGUAGCUCAAUUGGUAGAGCGGCCGAGUUAUAUUCGGUAAGUGCUAGAUAAGCCGCUGAUACAGGUUCAAGUCCUGUCACUCCGA